rnacentral:rRNA from 1 species
CCUACGGGUGGCAGCAGUGAGGAAUAUUGGUCAAUGGGCGAGAGCCUGAACCAGCCAAGUCGCGUGAGGGAGUACUGCCCUAUGGGUUGUAAACCUCUUUUGUCGGGGAGCAAAAGCCGGACGUGUCCGGCUGUGAGAGUACCCGAAGAAAAAGCAUCGGCUAACUCCGUGCCAGCAGCCGCGGUAAUACGGAGGAUGCGAGCGUUUUCCGGAUUUAUUGGGUUUAAAGGGGGCGCAGGCGGAUUUUUAAGUCAGCGGUAAAAUCGUGGGGCUCAACCCCAUCCAGCCGUUGAAACUGGGGAUCUAGAGUGUGCGAGAGGUAGGCGGAAUGCGUGGUGUAGCGGUGAAAUGCAUAGAUAUCACGCAGAACCCCGAUUGCGAAGGCAGCAUACCGGUGCACAACUGACGCUCAGGCACGAAAGCGUGGGUAUCGAACAGGAUUAGAUACCCCAGUAGUC